UGGCCCUACGGGGGGCAGCAGUGAGGAAUAUUAGUCAAUGGGCGAGAGCCUGAACCAGCCAAGUCGCCUGAGGGAUGACUGCCCUAUGGGUUGUAAACCUCUUUUGUAUGGGGGGAAUAAGCUUUACGAGUAGAGUGAUGACAGUACCAUACGAAUAAGCAUCGGCUAACUCCGUGCCAGCAGCCGCGGUAAUACGGAGGAUGCGAGCGUUAUCCGGAUUUAUUGGGUUUAAAGGGUGCGUAGGCGGAUUGAUAAGUUAGAGGUGAAAUGUCCGAGCUCAACUCGGGAACUGCCUCUAAUACUGU
rnacentral:rRNA from 1 species